CCUGAUGCAGUGCCUGACUGUAGUUCUGCAGCUCCACUGAAGAAGAGGCACUGAGGACUAGAGGCAGCCAGGGGAUUGCAACUCAAAGAGGUUUUCUAGAACCAGUUACUUCCAAAUUAUGUUCAAUUAGGCAACAGAACUAAAGAAUAUGCCUCUGAUCUACUUAUUUCUCAGCCUGAAUGCUGACUUCAUAGACUUUCAAAACAAAGUAAUAGGUGAGGAGCAAAGGAAGUAGUUCUGCUGACGGUUCAGGACCUGCUGUGUGGGUAGGGUGGUUCACUAGUCAUCCUGAAAGAGCAUGAGAAGGAGAAAUACUGUCUGUGGCUGACUUCGGCCUUACACAUGAUCACCCUCUCCCUGAAGGCUGUUGGACGACUUGCUAAAUGCAGCAAAUCCUGUUGAAACCUGCAAAGUUGUUAUAAAAACAGAUGGACCAGGACUUCCACAAUAACUGUUUGGAUGGGCAGUUAAAUUAUUUAGCCAUUUCUACAAUGUGACUGUAACCCAGUUACAGGAAGAGGUUUGUGUACUCUCCAGUGACUCUUAGCAGGAAGCUGCCUAUGCAAGUACAAAAUGGGUGGAAUGAUGGUCUUUAGCUGAUAGCAGAAAUGGACAGUCGGCCUUCACCAACCCACCCUACCUUGUGUCUCAUACACAGCAAGUUUUAAAGAUUUCCAGGAAACAUAUCUUACCAACUUCCUUAGUAACU
rnacentral:lncRNA from 1 species